rnacentral:rRNA from 1 species
GACGGAAGGUGCAAGCGUUGCUCGGAAUCACUGGGCGUAAAGGGUGCGUAGGCGGCCUGGUAAGUCUGGCGUGAAAGUCCAGGGCUCAACCCUGGAAUGCCGGUGGAUACUGUCGGGCUAGAGUCCGGAAGGGGCGAGUGGAAUUCCUGGUGUAGCGGUGAAAUGCGCAGAUAUCAGGAGGAACACCGAUGGCGAAGGCAGCUCGCUGGGACGGUACUGACGCUGAGGCGCGACAGCGUGGGGAGCAAACAGG